CCUACGGGAGGCAGCAGUAAGGGAUAUUGGUCAAUGGGGGGAACCCUGAACCAGCGACGCCGCGUGAGGGAAGACGGUUUUCUGAGUGUAAACCUCUGUCCUCAGUGAAGAUGAUGACUGUACCUGAGGAGUAAUCUCCGGCUAACUACGUGCCAGCAGCCGCGUUAAUACGGAGGGAGCGAGCGUUGUCCGGCUUUACUGGGUGUAAAGCGUGCGUAGGGGGCGUGGUAAGCCAGUAGUGAAAUCCAUGGGCGUAACCCAUGAACUGCUAUUGAAACUGUCAGGCUUGAGUUAAGUAGAGGUAGGCGGAAUUCCCGGUGUAGCGGUGAAAUGCGUAGAGAUCGGGAGGAACACCAGUGGCGAAGGCGGCCUACUGGGCUGUAACUGACGCUGAGGCACGAAAGCGUGGGUAGCAAACAGGAUUAGAUACCCCGGUAGUC
rnacentral:rRNA from 1 species